ensembl:lncRNA
CACCCCCAGAACCUGAAGAAGCAACCUGCUCUGGGCUUUGGGAGGCAGGGGGUUGGGGAAAACGGGGAUCAGACCCUCUUGGGGAGGAAAAAGUGGAGAGAGCCGGCCAGGGCAGAUGGCGUCCGGAGCCUGGAAACUUCUGUGGCCCCAAAGCCAUCCGGACGGAGAGAGGGUGGGGUUUCAACUCUGAGCGCUGCUCGGGCUGGGCCUCCCGGCUGAUUCCUUUUCUUUUUUUUUCCAGUUUCCACUUCCGCCUCGGGACAGGGCACUGGCUUGACAGCAUCAGAGUCCCCCCAACCCAGGACGGGGCCCACCUCACAUCCCAGCCCCUCCCCGCACCUCCCGCUUCAGGCGGCCGUGAGGCAGCGCCAGGAUAACUCGGUUACGGAGAAGUGAGUGAAGAUGCCGGAUCGGCAGCCCCGGGCGAGCGGGGUCUGGAGGGGCUGGCCCGAGGACCCCAGGCCCUGCACGCUCUGCUGCGCCACCUCCGUGUCCCCCCUCCCGUCACCCCCCGCCUGCCACCCAGCCUCCUCUCUGGUCUCAGAGUUCACCAGGCACUUUCCUGCCUCAGGGCCUUUGCAUAGGCCGUCCUGUCAGCCUGGGUCAUCCCUCCAGGAUGUCUGCAGCCCUCCUCCCUCACCUCACCCAGCCCCCAUGUCCCCUCCCCAGGGAGCCUUCCCUGACACCCCCUUCCCUGUUUCCACCCCCAUCGCUGCUCGAUUCUUCCCCGUUUGCACUCACCACCCUGGGACAUACCAGGGGGCGUCUCCUUGUUCCUCUCAUCCCUCGCUGUCUCCCCACCCGAAUGCCAGCUCCACCAGGGACAUUCCUUGUGGAAGCUGUUCCCUCCUGAGUCCACGCUGCCCUCACCCGCCCCAGCCUCUGCACACAGUGGGGGCUCAGUAAGUGUUUGUGCAGUGAAUGGAGGGCAAGCAGGCAGGGCCCCCGGACGGAUGAGGACUCAGGGGCCCCUUGGAAGGCAGGAGGGGUAGAAGGAGAGGGGUCAGUGUGACGGAGGCAGAGCAAAGAACUUCUAGAAGAAUCCUGGGGGUCAAGAGGACGCUGUGAAGACGGUGAACCAGCAGGGAGCAGAUCUUCCCUGUGGGGUGGGACCGGCCGGCAGUGAUGUGGUUUGGCUUCCUGCUGCCCACCACCUGCUCUCUGGGGGGGGGGCAUCUCCCCACCGGACAAGCUCGCAGCCCCCUGACCUCCUGACCUUCAGGCCCUCUCAGGCCACGGACGCCCCCGGGGUCACCCGAGGCCGCCGGCCACUGGGGCAGGAUUCAGAAGGAGAAGGCCGGGGCAGCCUGAAAUGGGGUGAGAUGGAAACGUCCUCCUCGUCCCCAGGGCCAGGCUCUGGGGCCCCGAGUGGCCCGUCCUGCCCUCCUCCCUCCCCGGCCUGUCCUGUCACCCUCCUGAAGAAAACCAGAGCCGAUAGACAUCAAGGUGGGGAAGAGGAAGCGAGAGCCCGGGGCAGUCGGCUCAGUUCGCGGGCCGCGGGGGCGCAGGGUC